rnacentral:rRNA from 1 species
AGAGUUUGAUCCUGGCUCAGAUUGAACGCUGGCGGCAUGCCUAACACAUGCAAGUCGAACGGCAGCACAGGCGUAGCAAUACGUUGGGUGGCGAGUGGCGGACGGGUGAGGAAUACAUAGGAAUCUACCCUAUUGUGGGGGAUAACGUAGGGAAACUUACGCUAAUACCGCAUAAGACGGCGACGUGAAAGUGGGGGACCGCAAGGCCUCACGCGAUAGGAUGAGCCUAUGUCCGAUUAGCUAGUUGGCGGGGUAAGAGCCCACCAAGGCGACGAUCGGUAGCUGGUCUGAGAGGAUGAUCAGCCACACUGGAACUGAGACACGGUCCAGACUCCUACGGGAGGCAGCAGUGGGGAAUAUUGGACAAUGGGCGCAAGCCUGAUCCAGCAAUGCCGCGUGUGUGAAGAAGGCCUUCGGGUUGUAAAGCACUUUUGUACGGGAAGAAAGCGAGCGGAUUAAUACUUCGUUCGGAUGACGGUACCGUAAGAAUAAGCACCGGCUAACUUCGUGCCAGCAGCCGCGGUAAUACGAAGGGUGCAAGCGUUAAUCGGAAUUACUGGGCGUAAAGCGUGCGUAGGCGGUUUGUUAAGUCCGAUGUGAAAGCCCUGGGCUCAACCUGGGAAUGGCAUUGGAAACUGGCGAGCUAGAGUAAGGUAGAGGAGUGCGGAAUUCCUGGUGUAGCGGUGAAAUGCGUAGAGAUCAGGAGGAACAUCCGUGGCGAAAGGCGGCACUCUGGACCAUUACUGACGCUGAGGCACGAAAGCGUGGGGAGC